AACGUAGGUGGCGAGCGUUAUCCGGAUUUACUGGGCGUAAAGGGUGUGCAGGCGGCUUCUCAAGUGGUGUAUGAAACCGCCCGGCUUAACCGGGCGCGGGUAGGCCAGACUGGGGAGCUAGAGUGCGAGAGAGGGGCGUGGAAUUCCGGGUGUAGUGGUGAAAUGCGUAGAGAUCCGGAGGAACCCCCGAGGCGAAGGCGGCGCCCUGGCUCGCAACUGACGCUCAGACACGACAGCAUGGGGAG
rnacentral:rRNA from 1 species